GGUCACCAAGGUCUUGUUGGAAGCUCAGGACCAAAAGGCUCCAGGGUAAGAUGUCUCUCUUUAUCUCUUUAUAUAUUAAUAUAUAGAGAUAUAUAGAGAGAUAAAGAUGUAUAUCUUUCUAUGCAUCCUUAUUAACACUUUAAUUCAUUGGACUUGGAGUAUGUUUGCAGGGGCUCCAACCUAUGAUUAACCAUAAGAACCAAGCAUGUUUUCCUCCCAUGUCCUGCAGGGUCUUCCUGGAAAACCAGGAUUCCCUGGUACUCCAGCUCAGCCAGGAAUACCUGGCAGUGAAGGACCUAUCGGCCAGCCAGGACUCCCAGGAUGCAAUGGGACAAAGGUGAACCUGGUCUAAAUAUAAUCUAAAUGUAAUGAAUGGUCAAUCAGGUAAUGAAUGCAUAUUGAGAAGUUUCUUUGUCUUUUUAGGGAGGAGAGGGGUAUCUGGGGCUGCCUGGUGUUCCAGGUCCGGUUGGGUUACCAGGUAUCCCUGGUCAACAUGGACCCAAGGUAAUUUUUUUUGCAUGAUGCCUCUUUCAAAAUCACUAAAACAUAGUUUUAUUCCCAAAUGGAACGGUUCCUUACUGUUUUUAAUGCAAUUCUGUCUAUACUGCUUCCUGCAGGGAGAGUCAUUAUUCUUUGCAUUGGGAGAGGAAAUUGAAGGCAUCCGAGGGCCCCCUGGACAAGACGGAUACGCAGGGAAGGAAGGACGGCAGGGCUAUCCUGGGCCAUCGGGGGUCGCGGGAGCAGAAGGCCAGCCUGUGAGAUUACCUACCAUUAGUAAUCCAUCAUCAAAACUUUCCUUUAAUCAUUUAUUUAUCAUUUAACCACUGUCAUUCUCCAGUACUUUGUUCCAUACCCAUGUCAUGGAAUACACUCCUUACUUAAAUGUCCUUCCUUACCGAGUUCAAUGAUAUUAACAAUUAUAUUAAGUUGAAUUAAUAUUAAUAUAUAUUAUUAAUAUUCAUAAUUAUAUAAUUUGAUUAAUGUAGGGCAGGCCAGGGACACCGGGAACACCAGGAGAGAAGGUGAGUUUCCUUUGGUUGUAGGCCUGUGUGUUUUCAUCUUGCCAGAGAAAUAUUGUAUUCUGUUUAACUACAUGUCUAGUGCUCUAUGAUAAUAAUAAUAAUGUUUAGCUACAUGCUAGUGGACUAGAAUGUAGUUUGAGUAAUGUAAGGCUAAAGGUUUAGCAGUCUAUAAUGUAGUUAGACUAAUGUUUAGCUAAAUGUUUAGCAGUCUAUAACGUAGUUUGAGUAAUGUUAAGCUACCGUAAAUAUUUUUCUGGUCUAUAAUAAAGUUUGAGUAAGGUUAAGCUGAAAGUCUAUAAUCCAGUUUGUCCAUUAGGGCCAAGAGGGCAUCAGUCCAGUGAUACCUGGACCUAGAGGACAGAAGGUAACAUAUCCAUCACAUUUGACUGUACUAUUGCGGUAUUACUGUACUAUAUCACUGUAUUAUAUUAUAUAUUGUAUAUAUAUACUAUAUUACUGUAGCACUCUUUCUUGGCAUAGCUAUGCCCAAGAGCUCGUCUAUGGAUGGGUAAGAAUGCAGCUGAAGGAGUGAUAACAAAGUCACGACCUAGUUGCCACAUCAACCCGAUCCUGUACUCCUCGCAGUUGCUGCCGAUAACAUUGAGAAUAGAUUUAAAGCUGAUUAAAAUUACUUUUAAACACUACACAAUCAGAGCCACUCGCUCCCACAGAUCACCGGAUCAAGGGUUGCUAGUGGUCCCGCAAACUAUAUUUAAAACGAAGGCUGUGUUUCAUGAGUGGCUCAACGUGCCCUCUGCCCCGUGCCCUCUCCCUGCCUCCGUCUUAAGUGAUGUGUCAUUUAUCUGAAAAAGUGAAGGGGAACGUAGGUAGGUCGACCCUAUGAGGGCUGAGGGAGCGAGUCCACAACGAUGGUCACUCCAGACGUGUAUACCACCCACAAUGCAUUGCAGUUUUGAAUUUGGUGCAGGAAAAUACAUUUUAUACUUUGAUUACUUUUAUUCCAUGUUUAGGUUUUUCUAUUCCUCUUAUGUUUUUGCUAAAUUAAUUCAAUUUUCAGGGCGACCAGGGCCCUCCAGGCAUCCCCGGACUCAAAGGGGUCAAACUCUAUGCUGAGGGGCCAACCGAACUCAAGGUAAGACCUGACCUACAGGAAUAACCUACAAUAAUCAAUAACCUCUUAAAUGAUCAAUAACGAGUCAAUUAUAUUGUGGUUGAAGGGGGAGCCAGGAGACACGGGCGAAAAGGGAUGUCCUGGAACCCCUGUGAGUACCCUGUUUGUCUGCCCACCUGUCUGUCUGCCAAGCUGACUGUCCACCUGUCUGCCUGCUGACCCGUCUGUCAGCCUUUCCACCUGUCGACCUCUCUCUUCUCACCUGCAUGUAUGUCAACAUGUCUGUCUGUCAACACGUCUGCCAAGCAGUCAUUCUGUCAAGCCUGCGUCUGUUGUUCUAAACCCGGUUGCUAGGGGAACCCAGCCCUGUUGCAAGAGGAACUUAAUCAUGUUACUAGGGGAACCUAACCCUGUUUACUAGGGGAACCUUACCCUAGUAGUAAAGGGAACCUAACCCUGUUACUAUCGGAGCCUAACCCGGGUUACUAAUGAAACCUUACCCUGUAGCUAGGGGGAACCUAACCCCUUGGCUACAGGAACCUAACCCUGUUGUUAGGGGUCCCUAAUGCUGUUAUGAGGGGGAAUCUAGCCCAGGGUGUUGCUAGGGGAACUGCAUCCUGUCGCUAUGGGAACCCAACCCUGCUAAUAUGGGAACCUAACCAUGUUACCAAAAGGUACCUGACCCUGUUUACAAGGGGAACCUAACCCUCUUGCUAGGGGAACCUAAUCCUGUUGCUAUGGGAACCUAACCCUCUUGUUAGGGGAACCUUAUCCUGUUGCUAUGGGAACCUAACCCUGUUACUAUUCCAUCCCCCAGGGUAUCCCGGGGCGACGGGGCUUUAAAGGAGCUAUGGGCUCGAGGGGCGACCCUGGGUCUCUGGUAACAGACUAAACAUGAUAUAUACAUCAAACAUAUACAAAUAUACUGUAUAUAAAAGAUAAAAACAUAAAAUAGGGUUAGCUUCUUAGCUGCCACUUGAAUCACAUUUCUGGUGUAAAAGAUGUUCUGCUUUUGUCUUUCAGGGAGAACCAGGGAAAGACGGAGCUCUUGGGUCUUAUGGAAUACCAGUAUGGGGAAGCUUAUUAUAUUCUUCUUCUUUGUACAUACCUUGUAUCGUUGAUUGAGUAUCGUCACCCAUGUUGUAUGCUGGUGUUUUAUCCAACACUGACGAGAUAAUGAAAUGCUGCUGUUACGCUUGAAUUAUUUAAUUUAUUAGGAUUGAACCUGUUAGACUAUGGCUUUACUGCAAGCAAAUCAAACCACCUCCUCCGAUAAAUGCUGUUUUAUCUUAACUUAAAAUCAUCCCUCAGUAUUUGUAACUUCCAUGACUUUCAUGACAGGGAGAGCCAGGGGACCAAGGAGCCAUCGGAGUACCUGGAAUAGAAGGUUCAAAGGUAAGCUGAACUCACACACCUGUUCAUCUCUUACCUGUUCAUCGCUCACCUGUUCAUCUCU
ensembl:lncRNA